GGCUGCGACGCGGGUGAUGUCAGCUCUGGACAAAAAUAGAGAGGGAUCGCCUGCAAAUCCCCAGCUCCGGCGGGGCUAAACCUUACAAUCCCUCCCGGGCCGGCGCCGAGCCAGGGCGCAGCGGCCUCCACUGCCUCCCCCGGCGCGCACACACCAGCACACGCGCACGCACGCACACACUCCCCCGCACUCGCACUCCCGGUCUUCCCCGGUGCCGCUCGGUGCCGGCCACUCGCCGCACCGGUUUGCCCCCGGGUGAAACACACACAGGUAGCGGCUGGGACGCGCGGAGCGCGUUCCUGCAGCCCUGCGGCCAGCGCGAUCUCGCAGGAGCCAGUGUGGGAUCCCCGCAGCGCCACUCGGAGCGCUGGCCGCGAGCCGCGCACGGGAACGCGGACCGCGCGCGGUGGAGAGUCGGGACGUGGAUUAGCGCCCGCAGCAGCCUCCCGCGCGCGCCAGGCGCUAAAGGGCUUACCCAGGAGGGGGGUGCGAGGGCGGGGAGAGGCUGCCCGUUAAAUACCGCUCCCCGCCGCACUCGGGGCUCACCCAGCUCGCCGCCACCGUCGCCAGACCGUGCCCGGGAGGAGGGGGCGUUCCCCACGCCAUGGCAUCAACGGAAGGUGCCAACAACAUGCCCAAGCAGGUGGAAGUGCGCAUGCACGACAGCCACCUCGGCUCCGAGGAGCCGAAGCACCGAAACCUGGGCCUGCGCAUGUGCGACAAGCUGGGGAAGAACCUCCUGCUCUCGCUGACGGUGUUUGGUGUCAUCCUGGGGGCAGUAUGUGGUGGGUUGCUUCGCUUGGCAUCUCCCAUCCACCCUGAUGUGGUCAUGUUGAUAGCCUUCCCGGGAGACAUACUCAUGAGGAUGCUGAAGAUGCUCAUCCUCCCUCUCAUCAUCUCCAGUUUAAUCACAGGGUUGUCAGGCCUGGAUGCUAAAGCCAGCGGCCGCCUAGGCACGAGAGCCAUGGUGUAUUACAUGUCCACGACCAUCAUUGCCGCUGUGCUGGGGGUCAUCCUGGUGCUGGCCAUCCACCCUGGCAAUCCCAAACUCAAGAAGCAGCUGGGGCCCGGGAAGAAAAACGACGAGGUGUCUAGCCUGGAUGCCUUCCUGGAUCUCAUUAGAAAUCUCUUCCCGGAGAACCUGGUGCAAGCCUGUUUCCAGCAGAUUCAGACAGUGACAAAGAAAGUCCUGGUGCCACCUCAGGCCGAGGAGGCCAAUACAACCAAGGCGGUCCUCUCCAUGCUGAAUGAGACCAUGAACGAGGCCCCGGAAGAAACCAAGAUCGUUAUAAAGAAGGGCCUGGAGUUCAAAGACGGGAUGAAUGUCUUAGGUCUAAUAGGGUUCUUCAUCGCUUUCGGCAUUGCCAUGGGGAAGAUGGGCGAGCAGGCCAAACUGAUGGUGGAGUUCUUCAACAUCCUGAAUGAGAUCGUAAUGAAGCUAGUGAUCAUGAUCAUGUGGUACUCCCCGCUGGGUAUCGCCUGCCUGAUCUGUGGGAAGAUCAUUGCCAUCAAGGACUUAGAAGUGGUUGCUAGGCAACUGGGGAUGUACAUGAUCACGGUGAUCGUGGGCCUCAUCAUCCACGGGGGCAUCUUUCUCCCCUUGAUUUACUUUGUAGUGACCAGAAAAAACCCGUUCUCCUUUUUUGCUGGUAUUUUCCAAGCCUGGAUCACUGCCCUGGGAACAGCUUCCAGUGCUGGAACUUUGCCUGUCACCUUCCGUUGCUUGGAAGACAAUCUAGGGAUUGAUAAACGUGUGACCAGGUUCGUCCUUCCGGUUGGAGCAACCAUUAACAUGGACGGUACAGCCCUUUAUGAAGCCGUGGCCGCCAUCUUCAUAGCCCAAAUGAAUGGUGUCAUCCUGGAUGGAGGGCAGAUUGUGACUGUAAGCCUCACAGCCACCCUGGCAAGCAUUGGUGCAGCCAGUAUUCCCAGUGCCGGGCUGGUUACCAUGCUCCUCAUCCUAACUGCGGUGGGCCUGCCGACGGAGGACAUUAGUCUGCUGGUGGCAGUGGACUGGCUUCUGGACAGGAUGAGAACGUCAGUCAAUGUUGUAGGGGAUUCUUUUGGGGCCGGGAUUGUCUAUCACCUCUCCAAGUCUGAGCUGGAUACCAUUGACUCCCAACAUCGAAUGCAUGAAGACAUUGAAAUGACCAAGACGCAGUCCAUUUACGACGACACGAAGAACCACAGGGAAAGCAACUCUAACCAGUGUGUCUAUGCCGCACACAACUCUGUCAUUAUAGAUGAGUGCAAGGUAACUCUGGCGGCCAAUGGAAAGUCAGCUGACUGCAGUGUUGAGGAAGAGCCUUGGAAACGUGAAAAAUAAUGACCUGACUCUCAGCCAAUUCUUGAAUAAACUCCCCAGCGUAUCUCAUGGUAAAAAAAAAAAAAAAAAAAAAAAAGAUGCUCUAAACAGGCUUCCUUUACGAAAGGAAAAAUGCAUAUAUUUCUAUGUUUACUUAAUCUGUUAGCCGAGGCUUAGAGGAGCUGUUGUAUACCCGUGAUGACAGGCACCGUGCUGUGUCUUUGCCAAAUAAUGCUUCAUAACUGUCUAAUUCUCUUACUUGUGUUAUUGUCUGAAUGGAUGCUGCUGGAGAAGCCACUUUGAACAGAAGACACGUUCUUGACAGCUCCCCUUUGUCCCAGUGCAGAGCUGUGGAUGCUGUUUUCCCAGGGGGACAGGACGAAAGCAGUGUGGUACACUCCAGGGACUUGAGACAACGAGCAUGCUCAGUGUGGUAUUCCUUAAAGUGUUCAUGGAUCACCUUGUUCUGCACAAAAGCUUCUGCUAGAAGCUUCUAGAAGUUCCUCCCCUCCAACCUGUAGAGUUGGCACCUGCAUUGAUUGAGAGCCUCUGUUGUAGGGAACGCUGAUGACUUACAUUUUUGUGUUCUGUCUAAGUCAAGGACUUUUGAGUUUCAGUGGGUGCCCACACUUUUAGAAGAUAAGUGACCAUGGAGCCUAGAGCUGCUCUGCCUUCCCUCUUUGUGUGGGUGCGUGCAUGUGUGCAUGUGUGUGCAUGUGUGUGUGCGUGUGUGUGUGUGUGUGUGUGUGUGUGCGCGCAAAAUGGGGAAUUUAAAUUUGAAACUGAACUAGGAAUUAUUUGCAUAUAACCACUGUUUACCUUGAGAAAAGUAAAGGAAUUUAGUCAACCUAAAUUUUAACCAGACUUAAAUAUUUAAACUCACUUGUUUGACUUGCAUUCAGAAAGCAAAGUGAAGUUAAGUGUGAUUGUCUGAUCUGUUUCUAUUUGUUUAACCCAUAAGAUUCUCAUUUGAAUUCCUAACAAAAAGAUAUUUUCAGCAUCCAAAUCGCUUCCAUCACAUUCUCAUCCAUCUACAUGGCUGAGCAUUUUAGCUUCCUCGCACAAAGGGACACAUGUUGGCUAUGCCUCUUUUCAUAUCAUUUUGAUAUAUAAUAUGUAGAAAGUGUUCCAUUAUAGAAAAGGUCUGAAAACCAUCACAGGAUACAUCUCCAUGAGAAAGGAGCAGAAAGCAAACCUCUCUAUAAAAUCCUGUGAAGGUGAUAUUCCUAGGACAGACUGCAGGCAGCCUCAAACCCUCGAGUAGAGACAAAGAACAGCUCCACACAAAUUCCCAGGCAAAAUCUUUUCCAAGGACUGUGAAAGUUUGAAGGGAGAAAUAAUAUAAUCAGCACAGCAUAGUGGUUUGCCUGUGGUACACAGCCAACAAAUCCUUAAUGAUCGGUUGUACGAGCUAACGUUGUGAAUGUCUCCACUAUUAUUCUUCUGUUGAAUAUCCCACAGUAUUUUCCUAAGAUUUCUGGGUUUAAGGGUUAGCUGGGAACUUGAACCACUGAGAAACAAAACAUACUCGAUUCUAAGGAGCAGAUGGAACCUGGCCCACGGAGCAGAGUACACGUGUCUUCUGAGGCAAGUAGAGUUGGGGAGACGUUCAUAAAUAGUAACAGGAUGCAGCAUCUCUGAAGAAGGGUACUGAGACAUUGCUUCUCCUUUUAGCCUCUCUUGUGACUUCUCUCCUUCAAAUCAGACUGCUUGGGAACAUACAAAAGACAAGAGAUUCCUUUUUUUGUUUUGUUUUGCUUUGCUUUGCUUUGGUUUUGGUUUUAAUCUCAUAAACCUUGUUUUUAAGUAAGGAUCACUAUGGAGCAGUAUUAAAUGAACUGCUUUGUUUUGGUUUUGGGCUUUUGAAACAAGGUCUUGCUAUGCAGCCCAGGCUGGCUUCAAACUCAUAACCUUCCUUCUCAGCCUCUGUCCUAAGAUUAUAUGGGUGUCACCAUAUCAACUGGCAGGUGGUCUUUGAAUGCUGUUUGUUUCACCUUCAUUUGAAGGACAGUUAAUAGGGUGGCAAGGACAAUGAAUCCCUUAUAGAAGAUAAGAGGGACCAAGAUGAUAGUCUUCCGUUUCGUUGUGGUAUUCUAGAUAGUCUGUAAGUGGUACCCCACCCAUCCUGGUGGGGGUUCUUUCCUACCCUGAGUAGAUGUGUCUAGGAAAAGCACCCAGGAGCAUGCUUGGUUUGCUCUGUGUGUCGGGGGAGGCCAUUCCGUACAAGGGUUCUCCUCGUGCGGAAGACCACCUCGAUACUUGUACAUGACCUUUUCCCACAAGCACUCACAGGAUGACAGUGUGUGUUGUCACCUCAUAUUCUGUCUGAAAAUCUUUCUAGUUUGUUUUGCCUUCAAUUUGUCCCUGGCUGUCCCGUUCACCUGUGUAAGAGGCCAGUGUUCUCAGGGGAGCCAAGCACACUGCUUCUCUAGUCAGGUUCUGCUGGUUUCUGACUACAUCCAUUGUCUCAUGAGCAUAUGCUAAGGAAACCACAUUUAUCUGGAAAUUGAAUAAAUUAUUGAAAAUAAACAAUCCAUCAAAUUGGAGGCUGCCCUGAAAAUCUAGGAUGUGAGUGGAAUUGACAUGUCUUGUUUUUGCAAGGCCUCAUUCAUCCUUCCCAUGGCAUACCCACUGGGGAUUCCUUUGCCUAGAAAAGGUGCCAUAAGCAGAACAAACAGAUCCCAAGUACAUUUUAAUAGCCUUAGUCUAAAUAGGGUACCUGUCACUGUGCGUGUACUAUACAUCCAUUGUAGAUCUGAAUCCCUAAUCUUUUAUGUAGUUCUCUCUCUCUCUCUCUCUCUCUCUCUCUCUCUCUCUCUCUCUCUCUCUCUCUCACACACACACACACACACACACACACACACACUGUAUGUGAUACAGUGUCAUAUACACUAACUCCAGGGAGGUUUGAAUGUUGGGGCCUUGCUAACCCUAGUCCUUAAAUGGAUGCAGUUGAUACUUUUGAAGAAUCAAAAUCAGAAGCAAACCAACCAAGCAGACAUUCAUUCUUUCCUUUCUCAUCCUUCCCCUUUGAGAAGCAAGAGGAAUCAUUAUCCAGCUAUUGAUGAAAAUUCAGCAAAGCCAAUCCAGUCGGUGAACAGGAUGGUUGCUUUGAAGGUGGAGCUUAACCGUAGGUUUAUGAGGGCAGCCUCUCCAUAGGCAGCAUGCUAGAGAAUAUGGAAAGCCAUCAUGAGCUAGGCACACAGAACCUCAGUAAAGUCCUGAGGUGAUUUUAGGACCACAGGGGCACUACCAGAUUCUGUUUUUAACUUCCUGUUGAGUAUAGAAAAAAGCCUAUGGGGCCUCAUUGCUUAUAGAAGUGUUCAUGCUCCAUCAAAGACAAAUAGCCAUUUCUCCCCUCUCUAGUAGCUUGGACCUUCCCAGAGUGAAAGGAUAUCAAAAUGUCCCUGGAUGAAAACUAAGAAAGCAGAGAAGGGGUGGGAAGGAUUCAGUUUGUGGAGCCAUUCCUGCUGGGGGAUGACGGGGAUCUCAAUGUUCAGCUGAUUGGAUCUCGGGUAAUUUCCAACUAUGGCUGGAAAAUCAUGCCACAUGCAGGUGCGUUUAGUCAGAGGCCCUUCUAGCGCUGAUCGAUUGGGAAACUUAUCUGUGGGGUCCCCAGAAGGAAACCCAACCCUGCCUUGCUUUUACAAACAAUCUCCCCUUUGUCCUCCAAAGCAAAAGUUUACUGUAACUUUUUACUUUUGUCAGGAUCCAGGCUCUUGCCUAAGCACUAUUUCCCUCAUGCAACAGAGCAAUAAAUUCAAAUAGGUGUUCACAUGCCUCUGACUCUGAGAGACAAGUCUGAGCAGCUCUGGCCUUUGAUGACUUAAACUGCAGCAGUUACACCCCAGGGCCGCUCUCCCAGCUCCUGCUCGCUGUCCUCUGCCUUGCACUUUUGCUCUGCUUGAUUUCCAGCUGAACUCAUUGUAGGCCAAGAAGGAGGACCGGAUGGGAUUUUUGGGUAUGGUUAUACUUACAGGACUCCAGGGUCAAGGGUCACAGGAAGAUGAAGUUAAAUUGUCUGAAGUGAGGGUUUCCUAAAUCAAGUUGUCACUGAAGAUUCAUGGUCUUGGCACCUAUAGUAAUUUCUGGCGAAACUGACCCAAAAGAAGGGUCACUGCAUGCCAACCAAGCCGGGAGGCAAAGGUGACAGCUAUUUUUCCAUGGGUGGAGUGAGAUAAAAACCUGCUCAAAAACACCGGCCGGUUUAGGAUUUUCCCUAAAACUCUCUUUCCAGUUCAUUGCUCUCUUCCUUCCCUUUCCUUCCGUCUCAUUGCUCAACAGUCAGAUAGUAAAUGGCCAUAUGGUUAUGUGGGGGUUGGUUCAGGAGGAGAUAGCAGAUCUUAAUUGAGUAAUAUCCAGUCUCACUGCCUAAACCAUAAUUAGGCAACGACACAGGGAUGCUUAAAAACAACAUGCUUUGGGAGAGGAAACAUUUGAUUUAGACACUGCUCAUUUGUAGCUGUAUGGCUUACAGAAGCCACUGUCCGCCCAUUCUUCUUUGGCUUCUGUAUGAGAAGAGCAGGGACUGGACCAAAUGACCGAAGUCCCUUUCUAUAUCUGCACAUGCCGUUUUCUAAUCUCUGCUUUACUUCCUUCCAUCGUCAAAGGCUUCCCGCUCUAAAACCUGGCUUAUUUAUAUUUUAAGUUGUAAAGACACACAAUAAUGAAUGAUCAGUUUAGAUGUUUUUUUUUCCUCAUCCCCUUUGGGAAAACUCUAACUCAAGCCUUUAUUCAUUCCACGCUUCACAACAAGCUUGGAGAGUGGCCAUUUUAACCCACAGUUUACUGCUGUCUUGAGAUACCAAUAAACAUCCCUUUGUAAAGAUUCCUUUAACCUACACUCACUGUCCUCACAGGAGCAGCGAUUCUGCCCUGGGAAAUGUUCUGCAGAGUCACCGUCAGGGACCAGGCACCUCACAGCUGCACUUGAGGUCUUGCAUCAUACCUGCUAUGGCAACAGAGCCCACUCCAAAUACUCAGCCCACAUCAUUUUCCCCAAACAGUCCUAAUUGCCAAUCCUGGAUGGGAAUUUGGGAGGCUCUGGCAAACAAGCUCGAACACUCCUGACAUUUGGUGCAAGAUUUACACAACCACAGCAAUCGUCUCCACAUACCUUUUCCUCCACGUGCGUGCAGACAUGUAUAUCCCUUCCUGAGCCGGGGAGAUGAGCCUUUCCUCUGGGAAGGUGUGCAGGCGGAUUCGAUGCAUUUCAUUCCAAACCUUUCCUCUUGGUGUGCUUGCAUAACAGACAUAACAUUGUAGGGAGAGAUGCUGCCACUUACAAGAAAGGAGUUUUCCCAUUUGCUGGUGCCCUUUUUGUGCUCACAGAGUCUCCAAGUCGUUGGAAAGUUGCUGGGUGGCUUAUCCUCUCUGCUUCGGUUGUAGUAGGCCAGAGUUGGCAUGUUUGCCCUCUGACCAAAUUUCUGCCAGAGUGGAGUUGACAUAUCAUAGUGUGGUGAACGUCUUCAUUGCCAGAAAAGGAUCCCAGCUCUUCAAGUUUAGGAGAGCAAGAUGGAAAACCAGGUCUAAGAGGGUUAAUUUUUGUUGGUGGUAGUGAUGGUGCCCCCCCACCCCCCCGAGCCCCCCGCAAGGCGGCAGAAGGUCUAGAGCAAGAGCAGAAAGACUGUUUCUUCAUUGACUCACGUAAGGUCACUCUUGAAAAGUGAGAGGUGAGGUUCCUGGGGAUAAGCUUUAUGCUACCACCCGGAAUCAUUUCCCAUCAGCAUUUUUUUUUUUUACACCAGUCUCCCAAUCUUGUUUUAUCUUUCAUCCUGUGAUCCAGUUACCCAUUCUGGUAUUUUUGGAAGUCUUUCUGGUUGUAUUUUGAGGAGCUUUUGUGCUGAGAAUAAAAUCUACUGUUGGGACAGACUUGUACUCUGCAGAGUCAGCACAUGACCUAGACAAUGGGUAGCAGCAUAUCUGGGCUCCUCUGGUGACGCCCCCAAACCCCGGAUGAGCUUUGGAACCUAACUACUGACUGUUGCUAUCCUUGUCAUCAUCCUCUGGGACACAGGGAUGAUGCAGUCAGAGCCUUGUUUCUUCUGGUCUCUGUUUCUCCUCAUGGCAACCAUUUACCCUGCCUGGAAAUGGCCUGCUGCCUUUGGUAGGGAACAGAUACACUCAGGAGCCAAGGAAGUUGAUCAAACAUAUCCUGAAGAUUUCUGGAGCAAAUUCCCUAGUACACACAAUCUGAAACUUGGCUCCCUGGUGGCUUACUGCUCCAUAUUUCACUUCCUGUCUAAAAGCCUUUGGCACCCAGAUUCUUCUACAGCUCACCUCAACCCUUUCCUCUCCCUCCCUCCCCCUCCCUCCCUCCCUUCCUUCCUUCCUUUCUUCUUUCCUUCCUCUGUGAGAGCUCAGCAUCCCAUCUCCACACCACACAACACAGACCAGAUCAUCUGGUCACUACAGAGAUUUGUAUAUAUAUAUUAAAACAAACCUACUUUUUGGAGAACCUUUGUAUAUUCUUUUCUAUUUGUUUUCUACCACUUGAGGAGAGAGCUGGCAAACUGUGAAUCUAAUUUUAUCUUGAUGCCAGCAGAUAUAUUUUAGAUCCUAGGAAGAAUUUGUGUUACUGGGGACAACAUAUCGCUCUCUGAUCAGUAUUGCACCCUAAAUCUACAAAGUUACUUUGGCCCAAUCUUACAUUCUUUCUUACACAAAUCUCCAAAGUCCUUUGCUAUUAUUUAUAAAGAGAAAUAUUUAUAGUCCUGAAUAUUAAUUACAAGUUUAACCUUAAUUUAGUCUUUAAUAAUGUUGUGCAUAUUUGUAUCUAUUCAUCAAAAAUCAUAAAGACUCAGAGUAGGCUGAAAUAAUCUAUUUAGUAUCUGUAAUUUUUCAGACAGAUAUUUUCUUAUGAUAUUUUCUAUACAACCACAUAGAUAGAAGUCUAACUAAUUAGAGCACAAGUUUCUAUAGCAAUUUAGGGGUAUCGGCUGUUUCCUGAGCAUACAGCCGCAUCUGAGAACUUUAGGAACUCAGUUCUUAAUGACGCCAUGAGUAACCGGACCAAACUAGGACCAUGGAAUUGCUUAACCCCCUUAGGUCGUUAGGAUAUGCACCUGGACAGUUAAUCCUCCCAUGUCAAGCGAAGGUGCUGACUUCUUUCCUUCCAGCACCAGACCUUGUUUCUCCAACCAACCACUCUAAUUUUACUUUCUCCUAAGAUGAAUAAAGGCCGGUGCUAAAAGUGGGAUCAUUUCUAUGCCAGAAUCUGCCAUGCAUUCCUAAAUGUUUUUGUGAAGAUUGGCCUAGGAAAAUGUUGAGUAGGAAAGACUGGGGAGGAGUAGUAAGACAAGAAUUUGGGACAGGGUUGGUGCCGUUUUGAAUCUUGCCAAGAAAAUGAGAGCAAAACCUCACAUUGUUAUAUGAAUUGAACAUAUAUUUUUAAAGGAAAUUAAAGACAACAUAUUUUUAGUACCCGCUCAGAAUCUGUGCUGUGUCACUGGGGGCCUGGAGGUGGGAGUCAGAGUCACACUGAGAUUAUUUAAAGUAAACCCAAAUAGAUUAUCCUCAGGUAGACGUCAAGCUAUGUAACCUUCCCAUCAGGUACACCAGUAGCCACGGAAAACACGAGGUGUCUUUCCUCCGCCAAACGCACUCUCUGAGAUGGCGGCAGGACUAGUAUUUUACCGUGUGUGAAAGGGUAGUCCAUUCCAUAGAACACAUACUAGGAUGCAUUUGAACCUGCUCCUUAUUAAGUGAACAGAUUAGACGUGCCCUCAACUGGCUAAGAUUGUAUCUGUUUUUAAGUACAGCUAGCAGUCAGAGCAUGACAUUCUUGUGUGUACACACUGACACUUGGUUCAUGCAUGAAGACAGUGCCUAUGCACUUUGUGUAGCGAUAACGUAGGUAUUUGUGUGUAAUUUCAGUGAAAUGGUGUAUAGAUGUAAUUUAAUUUAAAUAUUGUUCUUGGCUGUUUAUCUAAAUGCAAUAGAUACAUUGAUUGCCAUUUGGAAACCCCACCCCACACCUUUUUUUUUUUUUUCUGUCUUAGGUAUCUCUAGGGGUUAUUUCUCUUUCUUAAUGUGAUCUGAGUGAAGAACUUACUGAUGAUUGUUUGCAAAUCUAUGUAUCCAGCACCUUUGUAAAUACAUCUCCAAACAGGGAUGGGGUUGAAUGUGUAUCUUGCCACACAGUGAAAGGUCAUCCAUCCUAUACCCGCAUCCUUUCCACUCAGUGCACCUGUGGAACUUGAGGUUGUCAAGGCUGAGGGAGGUUUAGAGUGAGGCAUUCAUCUCUGGUCCUCCCUCACCAGUGGCCUGGCCUUAAAGAGACAAAAGAAGGGGGGCUCCAUCUGCCUCGUGGCAUGUUUGAGUCACGUCUUUAGGAUAGGGUCAACCUCUCUGGUUGUCAGAUCUUCAUCAGGACAAGAUGCUCACGACCUAAGAUUCUGAAGAGCCUCAUUCCCCUUGACUUCUUGAGUCAGAAUACAGGAAUGCACUCACUGAUUGGCUGUCAGGCAGAUGAUUACCCCUCCCCCCCCAAAAGCACAGUUCUGGCAGCAUUACACGUUUGUCAGAAAACAACAGAAUACUAGAAGCACAGCAAGGUCAGGGGCCAGCCUUGACAACAGCAGAGGACCAACCUCUGAUGCACUGAUCCCAAGUAUGUGACAAGAGUCUGAUCUCCUCUACCCAGUAUGCUCUGUUUGCAUGUGUGAAGUGGGGGAAAAACGAGAUUAACAAGGACAAUUCCAUGCUGAUGCCCAAACCACACUCCUCCUCAUUCUCACUAAGUACCAUGCUGUGAGGUCUGUAGUCCCUGUGACCCCUUUCCUCUCCACAAAGAUAGAAGGAACAGCAGCAUGUUGGAGAGUGCCCCUCCCCUUCUCAAAGAUCAUGAAGAUGUGAAGCACAUUCAUUUCCAGGGACUUCUCCAGAUGUGUGGAGUGAGGGGAUGUGGUGACUGGGUCCUUCAACUUCUGCAUGAAAAAUGUACUACUAAAAGGAAAGUAGACUUGAGGCAGGAUUAUCUUCGAAUGAAAGUUAAGAUUAAUGGUUUCCCUCAAGUUCACAGUCCCCAUUGGUCUGAUGUCAUGUAGCAUAGUGUAUCUAUAAUAGCACAUGGUAUUUAAAGACUAAUGAAUGCAAAAAGAUGAGAAACUCAACUAAUUUGGGGAUUGUUUCUUCUAUAUGGUACUAGGAAAUACCUUGUUAGCAAAGCACAUCUUGGGUAGUUGAGGUCUUCCGUGUUUGUCUUCAGCUUUUUUUGUGAUAUGGACUGAUGACUGUAACAUUUCAUAUGUAAAAUAACUGGAUAUUCUUCAUUUGCUGGAAAUAACCUGUGAAUCCAAUCUUUCACUAAGUGUUUUAACUUCCUUGUAUAUAUAUCUCUCAUCAAUAAAUGUGAAUUCCAAUUUC